UACGUAGGGUGCGAGCGUUGUCCGGAAUUACUGGGCGUAAAGAGCUCGUAGGCGGCUCGUUGCGUCGGCUGUGAAAACCCGCAGCUCAACUGUGGGCUUGCAGCUGAUACGGGCGGGCUGGGAUUCGGUAGGGGAGACUGGAAUUCCUGGUGUAGCGGUGAAAUGCGCAGAUAUCAGGAGGAACACCGGUGGCGAAGGCGGGUCUCUGGGCCGAUAUCGACGCUGAGGAGCGAAAGCGUGGGGAGCGAACAGG
rnacentral:rRNA from 1 species